rfam:Trichococcus sp. R210 isolate Trichococcus_R210 genome assembly, contig: TR210DRAFT_scaffold-25
GGAGAAUUACUCAAGUCCGGCUGAAGAGGACGCACUCGAAAUGCGUUAGGUGUCGAAAGGCGCGCGGGGGUUCGAAUCCCCCAUUCUCCU